GAUGAACGCUGGCGGCGUGCUUAACACAUGCCAGUCGAACGAAGCACUUUAACCUGAUUCUUCGGAUGAAGGUUUUUGUGACUGAGUGGCGGACGGGUGAGUAACGCGUGGGUAACCUGCCUCAUACAGGGGGAUAACAGUUAGAAAUGACUGCUAAUACCGCAUAAGACCACAGAGCCGCAUGGCUCGGUGGGAAAAACUCCGGUGGUAUGAGAUGGACCCGCGUCUGAUUAGGUAGUUGGUGGGGUAACGGCCUACCAAGCCAACGAUCAGUAGCCGACCUGAGAGGGUGACCGGCUACAUUGGGACUGAGACACGGCCCAAACUCCUACGGGAGGCAGCAGUGGGGAAUAUUGCACAAUGGGGGAAACCCUGAUGCAGCGACGCCGCGUGAGCGAAGAAGUAUUUCGGUAUGUAAAGCUCUAUCAGCAGGGAAGAAAAUGACGGUACCUGACUAAGAAGCACCGGCUAAAUACGUG
rnacentral:rRNA from 1 species